CAAGUGAAGCAACCCACGAAAUUUAAGGAUUAUGUCAUCGGUGAUGUUACUUCGGAAUAGACUGGCGUUCUCAUAGAAAAAACGAGAUGUGGUACCGUAACUCUUAAGGACUGAAAUGUGAAUACGUGCUGCCAGUAGGAAGAAUGGGGGAUGGGAGAAGAAGAAUUAGAAGAUCGACGUUUAGAAAAGUGAUGCGUACGGUGUCGUGGCGAAGAGAUUAUAAAUCCAAAUAAACUUACAAAUAACAGAAUAUUAACAGUACAAUAGUUAGUGAACCCGAAA